rnacentral:rRNA from 1 species
UACAGAGGGUGCAAGCGUUAAUCGGAAUUACUGGGCGUAAAGCGCACGUAGGCGGUUUUUUAAGUCAGAUGUGAAAGCCCCGGGCUCAACCUGGGAAUUGCAUUUGAAACUGGGGAACUAGAGUGUGUGAGGGGGGGGUAGAAUUCCAAGUGUAGCGGUGAAAUGCGUAGAGAUUUGGAGGAAUACCAGUGGCGAAGGCGGCCCCCUGGCACAACACUGACGCUCAGGUGCGAAAGCGUGGGGAGCAAACAGG